rnacentral:rRNA from 1 species
GGGUCAGUAGGUUGGUCGUGCCACCGGUACGUACUGGUCUCACUGAUUCCUCCUUCCUGAAGAACCGUAAUGCCAUUAAUUUGGUGUUGUGGGGAAACAGGACUGUUACUUUGAAAAAAUUAGAGUGUUUAAGGCAAGCUAACGCUUGAAUACAUUAGCAUGGAAUAAUGAAAUAGGACGAUCGAUCCUAUUUUGUUGGUUUCUAGGAUUGACGUA